AACAAUUUCACAAUCCAACUUAACCACCAUAAAAAUCACAAUUGAAACACAAUAGUAAGAGUAGAGAAAGGAAGCAAGCAAGCUCACAAGAAGUAAGAAAAAGACAAAGGAAGCAAUGAAAGGUGUGAACCAAAUCCACACAUUCACAAGUUUUUAAUGGCAACUUCCAACCAAUCUAUAAGGUGCAACAUUCCAGUAGCCAUUGAUCAAAAUUUUCUGCAUGCAGAAGCUCUACACUCAGGAAUAAUCCCACGUGAUUUUACCUUAUGAAUUAGGUCAAAACAAGAGUAAAUAUACAAGAAAUGUAUGUUCUUCUCACAUAAGAAAACCAUCAUCCCGGAAAUAUGUUCUCAAUUUUCUUAGCACAUCAUGAAAUACAAAUAACACUUUUGUCGCCUUUAUUUCCAAUACUAGAAUAAAUCUUGGAAACAAAUUCCAUUUCCUAGUCCAACCCAAGCAUCCUCGUGAGUUUCCCACAAAGGCAUUUCAAGUAGCGUACCAGAUUCAAAGAAGUAACUCUAUUUUACGAAACUCCAAAGAUGAAGCAAGAUGCUGCAACCUUUAUUUCCAUUGCGCCGCACAAUUUCUCUGCAACAGAAGCUGAAGAGAAUUUCAAGUGGACCAAGUUUUGUGUAAAACCAUUCACCCGUUCUCCAUCAGAACCCAC
rnacentral:lncRNA from 1 species